UCAUGACGCAUGAAAGCCUCAGCUGUCCAGCUGUCGUUGGAGAUGCCUCCAAAGAUUUUUUUGGGUAAGCUGAUGCAUUUAUGCUGUCCAGAGGAGGCGAGAUGCAGCAUUGGGACUGCUGCGUGGUGAGAGAUUGCGCUGUGUAUCCAUCACUUUGUAUAUUCUUUCAUUAUGGUGGCUGGUUUUUGUUGUGCGUUCUUGUGUUUUUCAUUUUUUGUUGUUUUGUUUGUUUGGUUUUGGUGGUUUUAUUUUGUUUUUCCACCCCUCGCUGUUCUGUUAAAUUGUUCUUGUCCCAACCCACAAAUUUUGCCUUUGUCUCCUGAUUCUCCUCCCCAUCCCACCAGGGGCAGGGUGAGCAAGCAGCAUGUCUUUUCAGUUGCUGGCUGGGGCUGGAGCUAAACUACAAGUACAAAAGCAGCAGUGUCGACCUAGUGAACUGCUUCCAGUGCUUCAACUACCUAUAGCAAUCACAAACUUAUCACUGGAAUCCAGCAAUAAGGAGACUGAGUGAUCUCCUCUUCGUGCCUUUCAGACCCUGGGGCUUUAGGUGAGGUACUUGAAUGUGCUUGAGAAUUGCGGGGCUGUUUCUGAGCUGCAUGGCCACACCUGGCCUGGCUGAAGUGGUUCUGGGUGCCAGAGUGGGUGGCAAAGCCAAUGUGGGAAGUGUUGGAGAAGAGUCUGGGCCAGGCUGGCAAGAAUCCUGCAAGCAUGAGUGUGACAAGCAGUUGAGGUGAAGGAGAGCGGCAGGUAGGAGCUUGCCAUGCAUCUGCUUUCCAAUGUCGUCUGCAGAGAAAAGAAUGGCCCCAGGGCCAGCCUGAGUCAGUGUGGUAGCAAUUUGGGAGAGCUGUUCUUGAUGGGAUGACAGGAUCCCCAUCCUGUGGGUCUUCAACUCAAAAAAGCCACAGACAAGCAAAAAAAAAAAAAAGCAAGGGAAAAACAAAACAAACAAACAAAAACCAAAAAACAAAGAAACAAAAAACCACAAUGAAAAUAAGAAACAAAAACCCCCAGUGAGACUGCUCUCAUCAGCAAGUACCACAGAUCCUCAUGAGAUGCCAAAACAGGAGUACCCCAUAACCUAGAUUGUAGGACCUCUCCACCUCGGACCUGAACCCCAGUCCAGAACCCUGCGCUGACCUGGAACGUGAUCUAGAACCCAGUCUAGAACCACACACACACAAACUCCUUCCCCACCCCAACUGAACAGCUCCAGAAUUCAUACCUGCUCUAAAAGCAACUGCACCGUCACCACAUGAGCUCUACAAACAACCAACCCCAACAAACAACCUCUGGAACAGACCCAGACUCUAGGGUCAGCCCACACUAUAGGGCCCCAGGCCUGGGGCAGGUGGGUUGCGAGGCUACUGCAGAGGGGAGAUGUGCCUGAGCACUGGAAGAAAGCAAAGAGCCCCUGUGCUGAUGAGCACAGCACUGAAUGAGUGGCCAGGCCCACAGGGUGGUGACCAGUGGCCUCAAGUCUAAUUGGAGGACAGGAGCCAGCGCUGAAGCCCAAGGUGAGGGGCACUGCCAGCAGCUGCAGGGAGAUGGUCCUUCCCCUCUACCGUGUCCUGCUCUGGGCUUCACAGUGCAAGACAGAGAUGGCCAUACUGGAGAGAACUCCCAGCCCAGUGCCCCUAUGGGGCCUCUCCCACUUUUGGGCUUGGAAUGUUGGUCAGCUGAAGCCACCAGAGACAGCAGGUUGGAGCUGUGUUGGCACCCAGCUGUGCUGGGAGGAGGCAGGAUGUGGACCAGCAGCACUGCCCCAGCACCGUCACCAGCACCUGCUUCCCAUCCUUGCUGUUGCCAGCUGUGCCGUGUCCUUGCUGCAUGGCAAGGGUCUUCCUGCUCUGGGCAGGACAUGCCAGGCCAACUGCUGCUGUGGCUCUAUGUGGGUUCCCCCCGUGGCUUGGGGACGCACAGGAAUGGCUGGGCCCCCCAGGAGCAGCAUUUCUCAUGCCUUCCACUGUCUGCUUGAUAGGGAGGGUCUCACUGACACUGAGCUGGUGCUGAGAGUGGAUGUGAGGCCGAGCUGGGGCUACAAGAGGAGCGAGAGGUGCCUUCUCCUCCAGGAGGAACUGGUCAUCGCCAAGUUGCAGGAAGAGCCUCAGAGCCCAGCUGCCUUUUCUCCAUCCCUGGCCCUGGGACCAGGGAAGGGACACCCUGGCACCAGCCCCAGCUGCUGGAUGCACCAGUGUCUGUCCAAAGAACAUGUUGGGGGACAGAGCUUUGCACAGUGGAACCCCAAGGAGGCCACCCCCAGCUCACUCCCUGCCAUGUGUCUCCAGACGUGACACCACCCUGUGCCUACAGCUCCACCUGGCCCUGGAGCAGCUGUGGGUGCUGAGCGGUGGGAAGGAGGCACUGGGGGAGGAAGAAGAGGAUGAAGAAAAAGAGGAAGGCAGCAGUGAGGACAAGACCUCCAUCAUCUUCAUCUGUCCCACCAGCUCCUGCAUUGCUGCUUUCAGGGUGGCUGAGAAGUUGCCUGAGGCCAAUCUCCUUCUGAAGCAACUGCUGUCCCUUCUCCAGCACACGGGCCACAAUGCAGGAUAAGCUGCAGCAACCUGGCCGUCUGUGUGGGCUGAACCUGCUGAGCCCACCCAACGAGGAGCUGCUCCUGCUGGAGGCCACGCUGAAGGUGACGGAGAAGGUGAAUGUGCUGGUGGAGUUCAUGAUGGAGAUCUGUGGGGAACGCUUCGAGGAGGAGACAACUGACCUUUGCAGCCCAGCAGCUGAGUAGACACCAGCACCCACGGAUAGAUACAGAGAUUUGGAUUUGGAAGGGUAGAGUGUCCCUGCAGUCCCAGCAGACACCAAGCAUCAGGCAGAAGCCUUGCUGCACAUAGCCCCCUCUCUACUCAGUGUCCUCAAAGAAGCUGGGGAAGAUAUGGUGGUGGCGUCUGAAAUGGGAGAGGUACCUCCAGCUUUACCUCCAGCCACCCUGAGAGCAUGGCAGAAACCCUGGGGUGCUAAGAAUGGAGAAUAGAAGGCUCUCCCCAGGACAAGGAGAAAAAGAGAACCCAAAAGAGAGAAGAGGCCUGUGGAGAGGAGAGCAGAAGCCAUGUGGAAAAGAAGAGGAGGAAAACAGGAAAAAAUUUUGGGGGUGGACCAAUGAAAAGAUGUGGGAAGACAGAGAAGGCUAAGAAGCCCAGGUGCUGACUGAGUUUCACUCGCUGAACCUCUGUGACUCCUGGGCCCACACAAUCGAUGUCCCCAAUAAAAUGGUUUUGUCCCUCUUCUGACUGUGUCUUCCAUAAGAUAUUCUGGAGUGGGGAGCUGUUGUUUUGCGAUGAUUCUUCAGGGAGGAGCCUGGGAUUGUCCCUUGCCCCAGCAUCCUUUCCAGCAGGCAUCAGGGCUGAGCUGAGAGGCGCUGUAGGAGUGAAACCAAAGCAGAGAGUCACACAGGAGGGUGGAGGUCGGAAGGAGACCUGUGGAAGUCAUCUGGUCCAACAUCUGCUCAAGCAGGCUUAUCUAAGCAAGUUGCCCAGGACCAUGCCCUGGACACCAGAAGGACUCGAGAGAACUUGAGUGACCCAUCUCCCCAUUGCUCAAACACUUGGAGAAGGAGCCGAGCCUCCACCAUGCUCCUCUUCUGCUGAUGUAUCCUUCUGUCUAUGCCCUGCUCCAGGCCUAGCUGCUUUGCACCCUUCUGCCUCUCUCCAAAUGCUGACAAGAAUAAUUUGGAGCAUUGCAGCUCCACAGCACCCCUGCAAACACCCACUGGGAGCACCUGGGAGGGACAAACUGCUGCUGUGUGAGGCUGGUCAGGAGGAGAAUGAUGCCCUCCAGGAAGCAGAAAUAACAAAGUAGUUGAAAGAAAUGGCUUGCUGAGGUGGGUGAGUAUGUCAGGGCUGGGGAGUUGAAACCAAAUCCAUCCUUCACACAGGGAUCCUCUUCAGAACAGUAUUCUGGUUUACACUGGCUUGUUUUACAUGAGUGGAGGAUGCUUUGACUUCACCAAAUUAGUUUUAACUUCUGUAGAAGUAGCAGAACAUCCAUGACCUUGGGUCACAUGUGUGCAUUUGUACUAGAAAGUGUUGUUUAAGGAUCACAGCUUCAGGGUGCCAGGCACUGCAGGAUAAACACCAUGCCCUCUCCUCCAAGCAAAAUACUAAAGGGAAAAACAGCUGUCAGAGCUGACAGCUGCUGGAGAGCUAUCUACAGACUACAUGUGAAGGAAAAGCAACCAACUUGUCGGCCUCAUUUUGCAGCACAGCUUGCCAGAUGUUUGAGCUGUGAUGUGUACAUAUGGUAUCUCACCUUCAGCAAAAACCACACCUGGUGCCUGUAGCAAAGCACAGAAGGAAUAACUGCCAGACUUGCUAUUCAUAGAAGGUCUGGUAAUCCCAUAGAUGAUGACGCUUGAAAAUAUUUCUGUGCACAGAACACUUGUGACCUUGUGCUUGCAGAUACAGUUUUAUGCUUAAAGGCAUAUUUUAUGUUAAAGAAAUGUACUUCUAAAGAAAGAACUUGGCAUACAUUUUAAAACCAUAAACAUAAGAGCUCUCAGACAAAGUACAUGAGCCUUUGCUGUCUGCCUCAGAAUUCGUAUCUCCUUCAUCUGUUUCGUGUUGCCAAAUCCGUUUGUUGCCUUUUGCUGUCAGUGGAGAUAAACCAGUCGUAAUUUAGUCUACAAUAUUAUUUUUCGGUCUUGUGGUAUGGAGCCAAGUGCUCUGCUGAGAUAAAUCAGCACCCACCUUAGUCAUUGGCUGGGACAGUCCUGGAAUAAGCCAGUUGCUACUGUGCCGGGGGGAUUAUGGCUGUCCUGCACCCAUGCUGUGUUUGGCCUGUGAAAUGAGGAGGUGAGGCAUGAAACUAGCAGCUGUGACAAUUGUUGCUUGUUCUGCUGACAAAGAUGUUGUAUGACAUUAGUGUAGGUGUUUCCUACAGCCCAGUGUGAGAACCUGUGGGUUGGUUUCCAUUCAGGUUUAACAUUUAAGGUUGGGAUUACACAGAACUGCAGAAGCAGUGCGGUGAGGUGUGGUGUUGUGUCUGCGCUCCAGCACAGCAUCAAUAACUAAGGUGCUUUAAACAAAACAAAACAUAACAAAACAUUAAAAAAGCCCAGAAUGACAAAAACCAACCUUGCAUAUGCCACCUUUGUGUCUUCAAGUGGGAGCCAGGCACAGGUUUGGUUCAUUAUCAAAUCUAUUGGAAAAAAUCAUUUUUUAAUAUGAAAUGCCUUUGCUAUGGAAAUGUACUUCAGUCCAGCCAUUUUUAUUUUGGCUGAGUAUGUAUUGUGGAGGAAGACCCCUAAGAGUUGGAGAAUAAUUUCCACCCCACUGGGGAGAUGGGGAGGCUGGAGCACGGAGGAGCCGGCUUUCUCCAUGGUCACACAGCAGCCAAGGUUGCAGUUGGAAAGCAGACCCAGACCUCUUGAAUUGUCUUCUUGCUCUUUCUGUUUUCAUGUUUUCUGUGACUUCCCAAUGGUUGCCACCCAGUCCUGCCAUUCCAACAGAGCUGAUGUUUUAAAAGGUAGAGUGAAAAGGAGAUGGGGAAGGUAUUAGAGAUGCCAGCUGGAGUCAUCUGUGUCUUCUUUUCAGAUAGUAGUAGUUCAUAGAUCAUGUAGGAAGAAAUAUUUCUUCUCCUUCUAGUUUCAGGCCAUUGAUGUAUGUGAGCCUGGUGGGGAGGCGAUUGUGUUGCAAGAACAACGGGCUCCCUGCCUGCCCUGGUUUCUGCUCAAAGCACAGCCGGUUCAUCAGCUCCGCUUCCAGAGCAGUUUUAAUGAAAUCUGUGUAGUCAGGAACGGGCAUCAGGAACACAUCUUAUAUCUGACAGGUUCCAGCAGCGGGUGUGUGAACCAGGAUGAGGAUCUUGACAGUGGGGUUUCUCCUGGUGUGUAAAUACAUGUAUAGUGACCAUAUGCUUGCCCUGAGCUGGCUGUUGCCGGUUUCCCAGGGUUGGGGACUGAAAUAUGUCUGGGUGGCAUUUUUGUGUGAUCAGUUAUUUAUUAAAAAAAAAAAUAAAGGGGGAAGAAAUACCACCAACCCAAACAAAUAGGGGGAAGUGGAAAGCAAUUUCAGUCCAGCCAGAUGAUUUUGCUAGUCAAAUGUGGCCAGAUGUUUGAGUGAAGUUUCUCUUGGGAAAGUUCAAGCAUUUUGUUUCAGACUUUCAAGCAAAACUCUUCAGUUUCAAAAUGGCUUUUGUUCAGGAGUUGAGCUAAUUGCAAUUAAAAAUGUAAAAAAAGGGAAAAAAGAAAACAAAACCAACCCACCAAACAAAAACAACACCACCAACGAAAGGCUGGUGGUGAUGGAGAGGAAUGAAAGCAAAUGCCGAACUUGAAGCCAAGUGCAUGUGAGGGAUGGGGAAGAGUUGGCAAGAGCGAUUAUAAUUUAGGUCAGGAGUGAUGUAAGUUGGGGUCUUUCCUUCAGAUUUUUUUUUCCCUGAGUCUUCCACCACAUUGAAAAAUGCCUUAUUUUGCAUGAGUAUAAACUGUAGCAAUCUUGAUUCAGAGAUGAUUUGUACAAAAUAGCGUUUGUCACAGGAAAAUGAGAAAAAGCUGUGACAUCCCUGACUUAAGCUAGGGCUUCACCUGACCUCCAGCAUACAAGAUAAUGGUUGUUUCUUCCUGUAGUUUCUUGAAGAUGCAUUUUUCUACCACCUGCCUCUCAUAUCUGAUGAGGUCUCUGAUGUGAUAUAAGAACACGGCUUUUUCAGGGUCUUAGCUGGGCAAAUAUUGCUGUUGAUGACCUUCUAGUUUUACUUUCAUAUAUUAAAUAUGUAUAUAAAUUCACAUAAAAUUUUAUCAAUAUGUUGGUAUGCAAUUAUUAAGAAUUUAUAGCAGUAUUUUAAUUAAUAUAGUAAUAUUUAUAUAUAUAUAUUUAAAAAAAUUAAAGUUCCCCUCCCAGGCAUGGAAAACUACUAUUUUUUCCUUUGGUUCAUUUUGAAUGUAUGGCAGAGGCUUCCAGGAGAUACUGAGGUGGUUACUCCUCAGAUCAGUAAACAGAUAAAUGGAUCAUGUCCUCUUUGCUCUUGUAUUUUUGAAAUUGAUUUGCAAAAUUCCACUUUCUAAUCUGUCCCCUUAAUCCAAGCUCAUCACUCUGUUUCAGGCUGGCUCCUGAUUCUUUGAAUGAUCAAGUAGGCUUCCUCUCUUUGUUCCUUUGCUAAAAAUACAAAUCACUCGACAAAGCUGCAAUUAAUAUUUUCCUGUCAUCAUGUCCUUUAUCAGGCCUGCAGAUCAAACAUGGGAAUUCAGAUGGGAAGAAGGCUCUGCUUCAUGGUUGUACCCUUUUGGUUUGGUGGCAGUUGGGUAGGAAAAAAAUAAAAAGUCUCCAAAAAGGAAAAGCUCAAUAGUUACAUAAUGUUAGCAAGUCUUUUAAUUUGAUAAUUUUUUGUUUGGGUUGGUUUCCUUUCUUUCUUUUUUUAAACUGAGAAAUCUGAUCUUCUGGAGGUUUUUAUUUCUGUGGAUGAUGAAAAUUAGCCCUCUGGGAAAAGAUUCCUCCUCACUGUAGCUCUUUAAUUUGCCUGUCUGAGUCCUUUCAUAACGUUACUGCAUCCUAAUUGGAAGUCACUUGAAGGCAGACUAGGUUUUGAUUGUGAUUGAUUUAAUAGAUUCUCAUUGUAGCUGGUCUUGAAAACCUAUCUUGCCCUGGAAUAAAGCUAUUAAUAGGCUCUGCUGUAUAUUGCUGAUCCUUGGCUGUGCAUAGGUACAGCCCUCACUCUUUAAUUUAGCAUCAUUGUACCUUGUGGUGACUUAUUCUGCAAACUAGGUGUCAUCAUGGAGGAAACAGCAAUGUUUGUUUUUCUGCAGGACAUCCCCAUAGGGCACAGGGGCCGUGAUACCAGGAGCUGCUGCUCCUCUACCCACAACCAUCCACCAUGGGGGGGCUCUGGGAAGCCCAGGAGCUGCGGCUUUCCAUAGCCCCAUCUUUUAGUGGAGGAGGAUUUGCUUAACUGGGGUGAACCCAGUUACAGUCAAUGGUGACGCAUGGUACCCUGUGAAGGUACCUUUCCAGGUGUGUUUAGCUGAUAUUUGCGCCCCCCACCCCGGCCUUUUUGCUCUUUUAGUGUGCCUGUUGGUUUCCUUGGGACAGCUUCCACCAGCGGCAAUGAAGCUGGAUCUGAAUCAAUGUAGAAAGGGUCAGAAUUUGGCCUUCUCUCUAUAUAUAGAAAGAAAGUCAUAGUUAUUCAUCUUCCCUUCACAUCCUACUGGAGUACAAAACAUUCCUGCUCGCUGGCUCAGUUAAGCUACAGUCUAACAUUGACCAACAUUAAUUUUAGUUUAUAACUGGAGUCUGAACACUGGCAGAGCCACAACGUGCUCUCUCUGACUGGCUCACAUUUUGAAGCUUAAGACCAAGGGAUCCUUUCAGCAACCCCAUAUCUGAUUCAAGAGCAGUGGAUAAUUAAAAUAUCAAUCAGUUUUCUUUAAUUAUGCCUGUAGCAAACUGGGAGAGCUGUUGAUUUAGUUUUGAGAAUGCUGUCGCUUUUUGACAGGUUAGAGAGAAGCCUGGGCUGGCAGGACACCAAACCUGCAGAAGCACCGAGGUGAGAGCAGGCUUGUUGGACUAAAACUGACCCUCGCCCCACUGUUACUUAUUGCUCCCGGCCCAAACCAGAAGUGCUGAUUACCUGAAAUGACAGGGUCUAAUUGUAAAGAUUUGAGCUAACCUUUUGUACUGUGUGGGGACAGCUGUGAUCCAGUUCCUUCUCUGCUUGGGGUGACUGAGGGUGCUACCCACUUCAUCUGGCUGCUGACCUCGGCGGAUGCCACCCGCUUGGCCGCGGAGCAGCUCUGACCCUGGAUGUGAGCUACCUGUGCUUCCCCUCAUGUGACACAGGACAUGAUGUUUCAAGUGACGUAAAAUGCUGUUCGGUCUCUUAAGUUCAUCGGCUAGCUGCUUUAGCAUCUUUCUGAAACCCAUUAUGUUUUAUUUUCCAGGCGAUUGAGCUUUGGUUUCUGAUGAUGUAAGAGAGCAAACAAGUUGCGUGAGGAUCCUGGCUCUCACCUGCAGAAAGCAUUAAGGAACGUGUCCUGGUCUGCCAGAGCCUUAUCCCUGACUUCAGCGGGUGUAAGAUUCAGCUCUGUGUCUCAGCUCUGACGCACUUUGUGCUGGCAGACACAGAGAGAUUUCCCUCGCGCACAUGAUGAAUUUACACAGCUUGGCUACACAUUGCUUGUACUCAUUCCUCUCCCAGCUGUCACAGGGCUCUCAUGCUGUGCCAGUGGUACCAGCUCUUCAGCACACUUCUCUAUCGUCCCCAUUGAGGGACUCGCAUCUGUCUCCCUCCCUUAUGUGUUGGCUCUUGUUUUAUUUGUAAUGGCAGUAAAUGAAAAAUGCAGAGUGCUGAGUCACAGAGUAACGAUAACAAAAAUGUCAUUUGUGCUGGACAAAUUAAUACUGUCUUGCCUAUAGCAUGAUGACUGAACUCCUGUUCAAGGUCUGUCAGAGAUGGCAAGUGUCCUGCAUGCUGAUGUCAUCUCCCUCCCCUAAAAUAUGUUCUGCAGCAUCCUCUUACUGCCCAUGUCCCUGAGGUGGCCAGCUCAGGAGAUGGGGCAGGACACCAUUCCCUGGGGCUUGCUGCUCUGGCACUUGCUCAGCUCUCGUGAAUGGUCCCACCACCUCUUCCUCCUCCAUAUCUGUCCUAGGAAGCUGUUUUGGUGGUCUCUGCUGCCCUGGAGCUGAGUUGCAGGGCAAAUUGUGGGACUUUGUGCUCAUCCUUCUGGUUGGAUGCAGGGGAAUGGUGGAAAGCUGCUGCAGGAUUAGCAGUAGCAUUGUGGUUUGUUUUCUGUGAAAACAGUGGCCGGCUUCAGAUGCUCCCACUUGGUGCAGAUGUAGAGUGUCUCAAAACAUUGAUCUCUGUGUCCUUGGGGAUGGGGGUGGUGUUACCUCUGGUCCAGCUUGUUCCCUGGUACUAGAUAAUCAGAUGACUCAUGAUGGAGACCUGAUUUUACAGCUAGAGGGCCAGAAUAGCUCAGCCAUGGACCAUCCUAUGCUUACACAGCUUCAGCAGAGCUCCAGCUGCUUGCUUGGAGCCACAGUGACUCAGUUGGUGUGUACUGAUCACUCAGCAGAGCCAGCAGCCCCAUUGCCUCCCCGUGGUCCCACGGACACGAGUGUCUCACAUGGGAUGUGAGGGUGUGGGGAUGUAGAGGGCAGGAGCAGGGAAGGUUGGGACAGGAGUGCUGGGGGGUUGCUGUGAGUGGUCAGGGAGCCGGUAGAGAUGGGGGACAGUCAGGACUAGGGUGAUGUGUGCCACUGCUGGGACAAGCCCCACCUCCGACGUCAUACAGGGGUUAGUGCAUGGGGCUGGAGCAUAGUUGAUUAGAUCUGGUGAAAUGGCUGGGAGUGAAAAGCUAACACCUCUAAGGACAGGAGCUGGCUAGAGAUGCAAAUUUGUUGUGGCACAAGGGCCAGGUCCUGACCCACCUUUCAUGGCCCCAGUACACCAGCUCAGGUGUGGGUAUUCUGAACCCACAGCAGAAUAGGGCAGGCAGCUGGGUGAAGGUUGUGGCUGUUCCCACUGCUUCCAGGGGCAGGAGGCACAUGGAGAGCUCCUGGAGGCACAUUGCAGCAGGGCCGAGGGCGAUGGCUCCUUCUCCCUUUCUGUGGAUCUCUGAUGAUGCUUUAACUGAUGGAUUUGGAAAGUCUCCUGCAGGGCUGAGACAUGGCGUGAUGGAAGGGCCAUUGCUGGGGUCAGUUGCUAUAGCCAGGAGCAGGCUGUGUCUACCUGAUCAUCUUCAUCAAGUUCAGGUGCAAGAGAGCACUUGUUGGGUUCAGCACUUCAUCUGUGCUGGCAAACCAGGCUGGUGUUCUGAAGCUCAUGGAAAUGCCCCGUGUAGGUAUUCAUACAGGGGAAAAAACUUUAGAAAGAAGCUUCUGCAAAAAUGGUCUCGGUGCCAAAAUGUAGAGGUUUAAAUCAGACUGCAAUGAAGAGCUUGUUCCUCUUACAGUUGCCUGACUCAGGAAACAAUUAUCUAAAUCUAACAGGAGUGCCUUUAUACUGUGUGUUUGUCAGCAACAAAACCAAAAUCUCUAGCUUAUCCUAGUUAAACAAGGAGUCAAAAAUCUUUCUGCUUUUCCAAGCUUUAACCUGCUUUGCCAGAGACACCCUUCACAGGCCGGCUCACCACCACAUGCUGUGCAAGAACCUGAGCUUCAGGAGCAUUCUCUGUUCCCAGAGGCCUUUAAGGAUAUAAAAUCCCUGAAGGUCUUUCGGUCAACCCUUUUUAUUCUUCUUUUUUUUUUUUUUCACAGGCUUACUUUGCAGUUAUGGGCUGUGACUUUCAGCAUGGCUGUGCCCUGGAUUGCCCAGUGCUGGGGGGAGGUUUUCUACAUGAAUUGCUCUGUAUAAAUAAACCCAUGACAACAGUGAUGAAAAAUGCAGGCUUUUGCUGUAAAAGUGCAUCAGCUACUUCUUAUUCUUACAGAAUUCUUCCAGCAAAUCAUCACAAGUCAUCAUUCCUUCUGCAUUGCUAUGUUGUCUGACAACAAUAUUUUUAUAGAGACAAAAAGGCGACGCGUAGAAAAAAAGCAAUAACUAUAUAGGAUUCUAAAAGUCUGUUGAGCAAUUGCCCCCUGGAAAGAAUGGCUUUGCAGCAUACACACAUGAGUUUUAACUCUUGGCUGCCAUUUAAAGUAAGUUAGUGCAUCUGGUAUCAUUCUGGCUUUUAUUGCCUUGUUCUAGGAUGCUGAAGAUCUGCUUUUAUCUUCCCAUGCUGCACAUCAGCGCAAGCCACUUCAUUGUACCUCGAGCCAAAGGGCAAUGCUGAGGAUGGGAGGGUGUUAAGCUGAGGCUACAAAUGGAGGUUGUGUUGGUAGUGCCUCUGGGCUAAGAAUGGUAGAUGUGGAACAGGAUCCUGGUGUGAAGUAAAACGCCCAGCACGCAAAGAGGGUCUCCAGGACCACAGGCUGGGUGAGGGAAUGGUCUCAGCCAGGCCACCCUUGCAUGUCAGGCACGUGGCAAGCAGCUGGGUGAGGGUUUGGUGCUACCUGCGGCUGUCUGUGCACAGAGCACACAGCAAUCUUUCACUGCUGAGCAUCUGAGCCCGCUUUAUGGGCACUUGGCGAGAGGUGUUGAUGCCUUGCCUCAGUUCAGCAUUCUUCAGCAGCCCUGUCUCAGCACCCAGAGGAUGCUAUCGCACCGCAUGGUUCCUCCGUUCAAGCCGCUGCAAGAUUUACUACCUCUCCAGCUGCUGUUAAUAACAAUGCAUUUGUCAUGUGCUGUUUAAUUAGCACGGAGCAUGAAUCACAAUCAAGGAGAGAAAGAGAGCUGAGGUAAAUGUCAGUUGAUAUACCAACAACGUGUCUGCAAACAUAAAAUACCUCCCUGUACCAGCCACAGAAUGCUGAGGUCCCUGUUAACAUGGUAUGUGGCUGACUAAGCAUGGCGAGAUCAGGGCUGCACUGACGCUGCCUUUUCCCUGCAGGCACAAAGAGCAAUUGAUUACCUGACCUUGGAGGGAUAGCUUUUUUUCCCCUCUCCAGACUUGACACCCACACAGCAUUUGAUACCUGUUAUCACAGAAGAGCAAAUAAAGAGCACGUUGCCUGUCUCACAAAAGCCAAGCCAAGGGCAAAGCCUGCUGUCAUCUUCAUUGAUGUGUGUUGGCAGUAUUUGACGCUGGCUGGAUUAUCUUGUUUAAUUUGUUCACUGUCUGGGUUUCAAAGUGAUAACCGCAUCAAAAUGACUGGGGUUUGGUUAAUACCAAUGUGCUUCUUAUUCUUAAGUGUUGGUUUGGGAUGCAGCUGCUCUGAGGGCUGCACACCAAACCUGUGUUAGCCAUUGGGCUUCCUGCUGGCCAAAUACAGAGUUGGAGAGGGUCCCUGCCCGAUGCUCUCCAGGCAAAGGCGAGCAAACGUUAUAUCUCUGAGUUUCAGAGAUGAGGGGAUGAGCUGAGUGCCCUCAUGUCCCAUGGCAUAUCUGUGGCAGCUGUCUCCUGAAUCCCAGGUGGGCCCCACGGUUAUUUUCUGUCACGUUGAGGGAUGGGGGUGUCUUGUGGCUUGUACUUUGUCUUGUCACUGUUCACAGAGCCUCACAGCCUUCCUUCCUUCUGUGUACAGCACCCAGGUCAGACCUCCUGCCUGCAACUGGUGGUGGGUCCCUUUCCAAAAUGUCAUGUCUGAAGAGCCAAUCGCCUGUUGAUCUUUGUGCUGGGAUGCAUCAAGUUGAUAUUAAAAAUUAAAAACAAACUUACCCAAAGAAUGAGUUAUAAAGAGUUGUGUUGAUGAGCUUUUCAGUGCCGCUGAGCUGUGCGUUAGCUGGCUGCCUUGCAGUUUUGCCUGAAUAUGAAGAUAUUAGGCUGAAUGUGCAUAUGAAGAAAGAGUAACAAGGGUGCUGCCUACCUUUGUGUUUUAAAGGGCAUCAGGAAUUGUAGUAAACUAGCAAUAUUUCAGAAAGGUGCCUGAAUAAAUCAGAUGUAAAUGUUUUUCAAAGUAUCUGACCGUGCCAUUCUUCUCUUACGAUUAGUGCACUGCUGUACUUAAGGCGCAGUAGUAAAUUGACAGAGGCUUAAUCUUGCCUUUUUGAGGAGUCAUUAGGCCAAAUCCUGCCCUUCUGUGUUAGCCCUAAUACUGCAGCCACUUGUUUCAGUACAAUGAUUCCCAGCUUUGUGCUGCAUGGCUGGAGACCUCUCUGAUGUGCCACCACUUCAGUGAGAAGUCAGGAAUUACUUCACUGGAUGCUCACCAUGGUACUCCGCUCUUGAACAUGUCGCUAUGUACUACACACUAAGCAGACUGGCGCUGGCUCUCAGUCUCUCUCAGCAAAAGGAUAGCUGAGGUUAUUUUUCUGAUCGUUUAGCCUGACUCAAGACCUGUAGCUGAUUCUGGUGUAAAUUUGGGGCCUGUGUUAACUGUUUGCCUGCUGCACUGUGAGUGUGGCUGCAGCCCUUCCCUCUGAGGAGGUGACUCUCAGGUCUUGCUCCUCCACCCUGCCACCUCUUUCCACAAAACCAUGCAAUGCCCUCAAAACGAGCUGCCCUCUGUCAAAUCUGACUGAAGUCAGCCAGUGGGGAGAGUAGGAGAAAAAGUUCAUAAACAUGUUACCUACGUGCAUGUGGAGUAUGAUGGCAAAACCCUUGUGCCUUACAAAGCCAAGUGGCACCAUGCGUGAGGGAAGGUAGCACCACCUGCCCUGCUGAAGCGUUUGUGCACCUAACUCCCUUGUGGGCAUGUGGAAAUCUGUCCCAAUUCAGCUGUUCAAACCAAAACAGCAUGUUUUCAUAGGGGUGGCACUAAUGGUCAUCCCAGCCUUGGCUUGAGUUGCUGCUGUGUCCUGAACAGAGGUAGAGCCUUUGCCCAAGGCCCUCCAAAUCAGAAGCACCCAUAGCCAUGGGGUUUUGCUUGUAGGCCACUUGAGGAAGCUGCAUUGUCCAACCUCUGGUGGUGUGCGUGAACAACGUCAUGGGUCAUUUUCCUCAUUUUAGGACUUGAUGUCCUGCCAGCUGUGAUUAGGGAGCACAGCAGGUAGCGCUGGGAUGGUGCUCCUGGCACAUCUCCUGCCCUGCCGCGUGAUGUUUUGCCUUUUUGCUGUGGUGCCGACGGGACUCCUGAUGCUGUGAGACAAUGUUCUCCACAGGUUGUGGUGGUGGUAAACACUGAACCCAGCCUCAAUAGUCCAAAUACUGUAGCACACUGCAGAGCAUUUGAAAAAUGACAUCACAGGCAAAACAGCAGCCAGACUGGGAAAGCUAGACUUUGCUUUUGGCAGGCACAGAGGGCCAUAAGACAAAGCACAAGAACGAGCUUUUAAAGAAUUUUCUAAGCAAGACUGGCUGGGCAGCCUGUUUUGCCAGAGAGGAUUCUCUCAUAUGUUUCUACUUGGAGUAUUGAAAAAUCUGAUUUUAGGAUGAAUUUUCUUUUCUGCAUCAUGUUCUCUUCUAGUCCUUUUAAUGCCAUCAGCAGGGAGAGAAGAAAAAAGCUCCGUUGUAAGUUCUUCAUUCUAGGCUGUGUGGUCUCUGCAGGGACUGGCUGGCACUGUCCCGCCUGCUGGUCCCUGCCCAUGAAAUGACUGGCUGAAAGAUGUUGCAGAUGAGCCCUGUUCAAAGCUUCCUUGCAGCUGCUUAAUCCCACCCCUGAGGACAUCAACCGAGGGCCAGAAUUACCAGUAAGGUGGCUUCCAGUCUCUUCUUGCCUCCACUUCUCAAGCCAACACUCAGCAGUGAGCACAGGAAGAUGCAACCUGCCCCUCUUUUCUGAGGGAAAGUUUUCUAUUAUUUAAGCUGCAUUUUUCAUGCUUUGUCUCUCAUGCAGAAGAACUUGGGAUUUUUUUUUUUUUUAAAAGCUUUCUUUCUGAGCCUCUGUGGUAUCAAUCAGGCACAAAGAAAAAGCUCCCAGAGAGUAGUAGUGGAUGGUGAGGGUGGGAGAGGGUAUGCACUUCGGGGUGACAUGAGUUCCUGUUUUACCCUGGACCUAGACGCUGGUUGGCUGGAUAGUCAUGUUUGGUGGUGGCACAUUUCAUCCUUGGCAAUUAUGAUUUUCCAUGUGGUUUCUUUUCUUACAUGCUAUCUUUAUUCCUAUAUAGCACACGCACACACAAAUGGCAUAAUAGAUUAUGUUGAACAAUUACAAGCAUAUAGCUAAGUACCCAUAUUCUGUUAGUGCUAUAGCCUGUUUCCUGCAGUUCUUCUACCUCACUUCUAAUUUUCUACUGUCUAAGAGAUUUGGAACUGGAAGUACAUGUGCUUUUUCUACUUCAGGAGCCGCCUAACACAUUAGCAGCUACUGAAGAACAGUCAAUGCCCAGUGAUGCGUAACAAGGAUCGCUGAGGCCCUGAGGACCACGGAACCAUUUGGCCUCAGCCAUUCCUCUUCCAAUAACAGCAGUCACUUGCAAUGGGUCUUCCCAAGGCCGAGACAUGUCCCUCCCUUGCAGAGAGCAGAUUUUGGUGCUCUGAGCAUCUGGUAUGCAGCUCUUGAACCUCCCGGGGACAAGAGCUGAGCUGUGGGCAGCUGCACCAUGGCAGGACACCAGCCAGGUGGGUGCCGCAUGUGCAGGAGAGGCAGGACCCUGCUCCUCCUGGGUGAUCUGCUGUCCAGUUGUGCUUGUACCCAGGCUGGAAGCCCUGCUGGGGUUUUGCAUGAGGGAGAAGAGGCUCCUUUGCUGACCCAGCUGCUCCAGGUGUGGCACAUCCAUUAGACAAACUUUCUUGGGGAAGCGCGAGUGUCAUCUCUUCAAACGGGUGAUUUGGUUUGGUUUGUGGUGUCAAAGGCUACCGGGCUCUGGGGUCCAGAGGAGUUCCCAGCCCUUAAUGCUGGGUUUCCCAGAUGGAGUGGAGAAGGAUUUCUAAAUCCAUAAUCCCCACAGGAGGACUUGCAAGUCUGUUCUGUUUUCUGAGCUCGGCUUUGAUACCAUUGGGCUAUGGCACAGCACAGGGUAUUUCCUCACUAAUUUUUAACUGGUCACAAAUUCUUAUAUGUGCUAUAAAUAAAACUGUGCUGAUGCAAAAUUCAAUAGAAGCAGGGAGUGAAAAGUCACUUCUCUAGACAACUUACAGUCCAUGUAAGUGAACUCCAGUGAAAAGGAAACUGAGCCAUGUGAAGAGCCAUGAGUGGGCUGGGGCAUAAAGCACUGAGUCUGUAAUAAUACUGGUGAUUUACUAGAGCUGACUGCCAGAUUGAACAUACUCAAGAACAGGCAUCAUAAAAACCAAAAUAAACAACAAGAAAAACAGUUUCUCUUGUAUGUGGAGGCUGUCAGCUUCCAACUGCCCAACACCUCAUAGGUACUCUAAAACUUGCCAAAAUCUGUUCUUUCAGCCACUCUGUUGAGCACCACCCUUCCCUCAUACACUUUGUUGCUAUGGGGCACCAACGUCCCUUUGUUAAAUGUGAUGGAGCUAAGGCUGCCACGCUUGCCGUGAGCUUUGAGCAUCGCUGGAUGUGCCGCUGGGGCUCCGGUGGCCACUGCAGUUGUGCGGUGUGGGUGGCUGUGGGCACAGCUGCUGCAGCAGCUGGGGAGCCCCAUAGGCUCUGGGAGCCCAGCUGAGAGGGGUCAUUCUUCUGACAGGGCAAGGGAUUGCAGGGUUUGGUGAAUACUGUUCCCGAGAGGCCUUUACCGAAGUUAAUGUUUUGCUAGGUAGAUGUUUAUGCUGAGGAUUGUACCUGGGAUCUGUUGCUGUUAAAAAUUUUAAAAAAACAAACAACAUUGUGAAAACCAUCAAAACCAAACAAAGAUAUCUCUUGUGUCAUCAAAAUUACAGCCGCUCCUUUCAUUAUUGUCCUUUGUGUGGCUGUGCCAAGAGCUGCUCCAUGACUCAUUGCUGUUGCACUGGGAACGGCAUAAGUGACUACAUGACGUCUGACAAAGCCACCCUGAGGAGGCUCAUAUGGACAUUCAAAUCCUGCCUGGACACCUUCCUGUGUAACCUCAUCUGGAUGUUCCUGCUCUGGCGGGGGGAUUGGACUGGAUGAGCUUUCGAGGUCCCUUCCAAUCCCUGACAUUCUGAGAUUCUGUGAUAAGCAGCAUGGUGACCUCUGAUCUCGUGUUGGUCCCAGUUUGUGGUUCCAUGUUAAAACCUAGCUCCAGAUUGUCCCUGACUUCAUGGGAGCCCCUCUGAAGCAAGAGUCUGGCCAUAAAUCCUCCUGGGUCAUUUCAAAACCUGUGGAUGGAUUAAUGGAAGAGUCCAACAGGUAUACAUGUUACUGCGGAAGAAGUUAACAAGACAAAAUUAGUGCUACUGUUAGGCAUCCCAGAAGAGUUUCACAAAUUCAGGUGACCAUCUUGGCACUCCGCAGGGUCUCCUUAGCUUGUGGUCACGGGUGUGGUGAGAUAUACUGUAUUUAUGGCGGUUGUGGCCACUCUGCUGUCGCUACAGUUAAGGCCUGAAAGCUGCAUAACUGAUCGAUGUGUCUCACAAAUGGCAUAUCUGGUAAGGCAUUCUGGUUCUUAAACUGAAAAUGUAAAUACUUUCAUAAAAAGGCCAUAAAGAGAGGUACAUAGAUGUUGACAGGGUUGAGCACUCUGGCAUAUGCGGCUGCCCCCAUUCCACUGGAAAGCACCAGAAACUUCUAACUUCUAGACCAGUUGACCACUAUGGUCAUGUACAUACCCCUUGGUUGACAGACAGGGCCCUUAACCAGUGAAAUGCCUUGGUUGAGAGAGUUUUCUAGACCACUACCAUAAAUGACCUCAGCUGAGAUUUAAUUUAGGGCAUAAAUGGAGCCUGCUGGAGCUGUCCUUUAGGAUGGUUUUCAUUGGAGCAGUGGGUCUGCAGUCAAAGACUCCUCUUCUUAGUCUGGGAUGUCAUCUAAAGAAAUGACAUUGAGGACUGAGACACUUUCCCUUAUUGCUAAGUGAUUAUAUUCUCUGGGUACUUUUGAGAGUCCUCACUUUUUGUGAGUGGGAAGAUGUGUGCUUUUGAAUCCUCAUUCAAGAGAUUUGGGUCCCUUGAGUUUGAAUCGACUUUGUACUAAUUGAACCAGUAUCCAAAUCUGUGUUUUAUAAUGUUGUUGGGAGUGCUGUAUAAUUUUUUAUAAACUCUGUUUCUAUUCAGUUCUUUGCCAAACAGUUCUGGUUAGAAUAAAGUCUCUCUGAAGCUUAUUGCCUGCCUAGAUUGAUUUUUGGGGUGCCUUUGUGACAAGAACCCACCCUUUCUAUGAGUGUAGCUUAUGUCUUGACUCAUUAGGAGGGGCAACACGCAGGCAAUCUUGAACUUAAAGACUGCUGAAGUCACUCAUGUUCCCCAUGUUCCUUCUCUCCUGGGCUCUCCAAGCCUCUUCUUUCAUCCCAGGGACAAAGUAGACGCCUAGAGACUGAAGAAGGUGCUUUAGAAAAUGCCCCAUGGAUGGGGUUGUAGCUGCGGUGGGUGGCUUUGAGCCACUCAUCCAGGAGGUGCAACCAGCCCUGUCCAGCUGAUCAGGAGAGGGAUCAUGGAGCCACCACUCCAUUUCUGGGCCAGUGGCCUUGGGAGAGCAACUGGUGUCCUUGUAAAAUGCCUGGGACCUCUUUAGGGGCAACGUUGUUGGGACUGGUGGUGGCUCAGCUGCCAGGACUUGGAGGCUCCUUUUGGCACAGCAUUUUCCUCACCCUGAUGUAACAAGCCCUGGUGCCUAAUUCACCCAUGGUCCCUGUGGUCAUCAUGGCCAUGCUAUACCAACGGGGCUGCCAGCAUGGCUCACCCAGGCACGUGGGUGGCAGGGCAUGGUGGUGAGGAAAAGCCCACAGCUCCCCUCCUCCUCAAGGUGAUGGUGAUGAGAGAGCUCCUCUCCUGAUCUCAUUCUCUGCCACCUUCAUAGCUGCAUUCUCUUUAAAAAACAAAACAAAACAAAACAAAACCAGUUUAUGGUCUGUACACAAAAAUAAAUGGAAAAUAUUGUGAAUUCAGGAGCUGUAAUCUUACAUAGUUCUGUGGGUGUAUUGAACUUAUCUGUGAAACCACUCAUCCUAUGGUGAGUCAAAGGUUGUUCUUCUGGGCAAUUUCUUACAGGGUAACUGAUUUUUUGCUGGCAGGUAUCUUCUUGGUGGCAGCUGUGCCUCUGAAGUAAGUCCUCUUGUAAGGACUUUCAGACAACUCUCCUUUGAAAGCAAACCGACAAAAACCAAAAUCCCAUUCUUUUCCUUCACGUUACAGGGAGGCAAGGGGAAGGGAUAGAUCCCUAGCACAUUUUGGGGAUGAUGGAACUGUACAGAAAGACAGUGCUCGUGCUUCAUUAGCAGUUACUCCAGUGCUGGACUUACACAAGUGGGAUCACUGUUGCAGACAGCAGAGAUCACGUUUUUAUGGCAAUGCCAUCAUACUUAAAAAUAAUGGUGUAAAAUUGUGUGUUGAACUUAAGAGCUCUGGCUUAUUUUGGUUUUAUAUAGCUUUUUGCUUUUUAUGAUUUCAUGGCUCAUAUAGCAAAUUUAGUUUGACUACCUAGUAAAUAUAAGUAGGCCUGUAGGAAUUGUACUGUUUGGCUGUGUUGACUAUAUUUCAGAGAGACUCUCGAAAAUAAUCUGCUUUGGCCUGACACGGUUCCUGCUGAUGUCAACAGCAGAAGUCCCCUCUGCAUUUCAGCAGCGGAGAGGAAGGGGUACUUCAGUGCUUUUGCAAAUGUAGCCUUUAAAACCUUGACAGGCAGUAAAUAUCCACAAAUACUCUGGAACUUUCCUAAUGUGUGUGCCAUCCCUAUGUUGCAGCUCAUUUGCAAAAACUUGCAGUAAAGUAUUCCCAUUCUCCAGACCGUUCCCCUUAAAUGUUGUAGAUAUUUUUUUCUUUCUUUUUUUCCUGAUUGUAACCCAUAUCUUGUUUGGGUUUUAUGUCAAGCAGAGUUUUCUUCACACCCGCAGCUGCCAUACUGGUCGGAUGACUUUUUGUUUCUUCAUAUUUGCUCUGAUGGUUUCACUGAGGGGUUUAAUAGCUGACACCUAAUACAUGGUGUUACCUCUCCAGGUGUUGCACAAGAAAGGCAAAUACAGCUCAGAGGUCAGAGCAAAGUGAGGUUCUAGUGGCUUAAGUUGAUACACCUUAGGAGGUAUGUGGCAUGUGUUAUAACUCCCCAGUAUCCUUCAUUUCUACUUCAUGAAUUUCUCAGCAAUAAUGGUAAACAUAAUUUUAGAGAUUUCUUCACCCUUUCCAAGUCAGCCUAAUACUAUUUUAGACACAAGACCACAAAUCUGGGCAACAGAUUUUAUAAGGGAGUGGGUGGAGAUUUGGGGGAUAUUUCCGAGUUAAGACAAUGGUCUUUUAAAAUUUUAUCCUGCAGAAAUAUUUGCACCAGCCUUUAAAAGACCCUUCUCCUUGCUCACAACUGGCAUGCAGAAAAGCAGCCUGAUGUUUUUGCAUCAGUGGCCUGGCUGACCUAGCACAGGCAGCGGGGUCUGGCUGCCCAGCAGGGCUGGCUGACUGCUCUGAGCACCUCAGAGCUACACUGGGCACCAGGUGGAAGCACCAUUGUGGAGGUGCUGUUACAUCAGGCUGGCCUUCUGGGGUCCAGGACCAAUUUGCCAAUGUUUGCUUGUGAUGUGUUUGAGAUACAGUUACCUUUGGCUUCAGUCUGGUCUCUGGGUGAAUUCUGCUGGUGCCUCACCUGAGAGAAUGCACCCUGAGAUGGACAAUCCCAUGGUGCUAUAUGGUCUGCAUGGUUAUGUGGUCUAUACCGUUGUGCAUGCUUGGAGCUCUUGCUCGUGCCCAGGCACACGUUGCUAGAGCAGGGUGGCAGAGGAGGCCAGGCUGAGAACACUGGAGGUGGAUGGGAACUGGCUCUGUUUCUCCAGCUGGACUGGCUGCAGGUGAGCACCACAGCUUUUCCCUGAGGGGAUCCUCUAGCCCACUAUUCGGUUUCUGACAGCAGCGAUGGGAGAGGCUGUUUAGGGAGAACACCAGUUCACGUUCCCUCCCAGUGUUGGCAAUUGUUGAAUUAGAGCUUUUGAAUCUAUUGAUCCCCUGAGGACUUAGUACCUGUUUCUUGGCUCUGUGAAGCAAGUCUCAAGUACAUGGGACAAUCCAGACACCAUUCUGCAGUGUUGUGCCUUGAGCAGCUGGGCUUGAGCUCUCUGACAUAGAAGCCAGAGCCUCAUAUCUGCAUUCAGAGCUCACAUCUUACUCAUGUUAAGUGUGGCCUCACAGCAGGGAUUAUCGGUGUUAACAAUCCCCUUCUUUCUCCAACAGUAAGUUGUUAACAAGUCCUCCUGCUGGCCUUUCAAGGGAAAUAGAAGAGAUUAAAGUUUAUGUAUUUUAAAAUAACAAAGUCUUGGAAUAUAUGAGAGGUGGCAGUGUUAUUGCAGAAUGUGGAUUCAAGUGAUGUGAAGGAGUGUGGUGGGUUAGUGCUCUUAAUUUCUGGCUUUAUUCUGGGAGGUGACAAGGGGUGAGACGAGUGUUAUGUGCAAGCACUUGUGAAGAGGGAACUGGCACAGCUCCUGCUGCUUCAUAUCUCCUGGCCAAUGAAUGAAACUGCUUACAAAUACUUGUCUCCCUUCUGCCUC